AGAACUUAUAUUUCAACAAAUUAAAUGAUAGGGUAACGCCUUGAAGGAUUUGCGCUGAGACCUCCGAAUAGCAUUACAUGAUAAAGCAUGAGAUGUUAUAAGCUCGGUAAAGUCGUCUGAAGGAAACCUAAACUGAAAAAAGUCUUUGAAUGUAACAUUGGUACAAAAGUGUUAGAGCACACCUGUGUGAAAAGAAGAAUAAAAAGUAAGCAUGGUGACUAAUAGGGCGGGCGUCGA
rnacentral:ncRNA from 1 species